rnacentral:lncRNA from 1 species
AUGGCUCAGAGAAUUGCCAUAACUCACAUAGCUAUCACUCAGAUGUUUCCAGCUCUAUUCCACUCAAGCCAAGUAGGCCACCACAAGAAGAAUAGGGCGGUGCUUCCCUGGUCCAUUGCUCUGCUUCACUUAGAAACAAGGCAUUUAAAAUCAUCAACAGAAGGCAUCGUAUUUUCACAGAACUUGGCACACAUGGAGGAAAAUUCAGGUGGGAUUAGUACAGUAGAUGGUUCCUUUUCUAUGACCCUCCUUUUCUUCAAAAUGCCCUUCAGUUGGGUUCCUUGGUUUCCCCCCUCCCCAUCCUUGUCAGCUUCCUUUUAUAUUUUGACUUCCUCUAUUAGUGUAAGCAACUUGAGGGCAGAGACUAUCUUUCUUUCCACUCGUCCUUAUAAUCCCAGUACUUAGCUCAGUGCUGGCACACUGUAAUAAUAAAUGCUUUCUGACUGAUUGACUGUAGUCCA